rnacentral:lncRNA from 1 species
GUUUUUCUGAGGUUUCCCCCUGGACCAUGUGUUUCACAUCAAGUGAGCAAAUACCUUUUCGGCUGAAAACCUUUCAACGGCCUCAAGUUUCCAGACCAGACUUUACCUCUGGGCUCCGCACAGAUCCAGCCUUACUUCAUGUUGGUUCACCCUUAAUAUUGGCAUAAUAGAUGCUGAUUCAUGAGAGAGGAGAGCUAAUCAAGAAAGAACCAAGAAGGAUCUACCUGGUGGCAGAUUCUGGAAGAGCUGCAGCAGAGAGGCUGGGCUGCCUUUGGGCCAGCAGGUCCUGGAGGAGCUGACAAUAGCUACAUCCUUCACCACUACUAACUCUUGGAAAUGAAAGGGAGGGAAAUGUUCCACCACUACAAGUCACGAAGAUGCUGAUGACCCUGCUGCUCUAGUGCAAGCAAGGCCACUUCUUACCCUGUCUGAAAUUUGGAAGAGACACUUGGUGGAACAGUGGGAAGACUGCUCUCUCAAUGUAUAUGAAGAAGUGGAACCAAGUGGCACAAAGGAUACGCUGUGGUGGACAUGGAGAUGUGCACCCCAGGCUCCUUUCUGGGAGGUUUUGUCUCCAGCUGUUGGUAUCUUCAGCAGAUGGCCUCUAGGUCUCAGCAUCUUCAGGGGUCAGCCAUCCCUCAGGUGGACUCUGAUGACUGAUGGAGGGAAGAGGUAAAGGCCCAGCCAUUUUAGCCCUGAGCAGGGUAAGUCUGACAGGCUCCAGAGCUCCCUGUGGGGUUGGCUAAGCCUGUCAGGUCUCUGGGUCUGGAUCACAACUUGUAUCUCCUUGUGCUCAAGCCUGCUCUCUCCCUCUCUUCUACAGGUGUUG